GUACACGCUGUGACUAGCAUAUCAAUAAGCGGAGGAAAAGAAACUAACAAGGAUUCCCCUAGUAACGGCGAGUGAAGCGGGAAGAGCUCAAAUUUGAAAUCUUAAAGGGUUUCCCUUUACGAAUUGUAGUUUAAAGAAGUGUUUUCUGUUGAGGUUUUGGUAAAAGUUCUUUGGAAUAGGACAUCAUAGAGGGUGAGAAUCCCGUAUUUGGUACAUUCCUUCUAAGCUUUGUGAUACACUUUCAAAGAGUCGGAUUGUUUGGGAAUGCAGUCCAAAAUGGGUGGUAAAUUUCAUCUAAAGCUAAAUAUUGGCGAGAGACCGAUAGCGAACAAGUACCGUGAGGGAAAGAUGAAAAGAACUUUGAGAAAGAGAGUUAAACAGUACGUGAAAUUGUCAAAAGGGAAGCGUUUGACACCAGAGUUGUUUUUCUGAAAAUCAAUUAAAGAACUGUUUAUGCUAAGCUGUUUAGACUUUAUCAGCUAACUGUUUAGUUUUGAGCUUUUCUUUAAUGCACUUUUCAGUUAACAAGUCAACAUCAAUUUCUUUUGCUGUAAAAAAGCUUGAGGAAGGUGGCUUGAGAUUCGUCUUAAGUGUUUAUAGCCUCUUGCCUAUGCAGUCGGAGAGAUUGAGGUCUGCAGCGUAGAUCCUUCGGGGCUAAAUGCAUUUGUGCUAAGUUAUAAGCAUUUUAUAGACAACUUGUUGACUAUGAUUUGUCUUGUAGCUUACUCGCUUAUGUUAUUUUACCUACGCUUAGGAUGUUGACGAGACUGUCGAUCUC
rnacentral:rRNA from 1 species